rnacentral:rRNA from 1 species
UACGUAGGGCGCAAGCGUUGUCCGGAAUUAUUGGGCGUAAAGAGCUCGUAGGCGGCUUGUCACGUCGGGUGUGAAAGCCCGGGGCUUAACCCCGGGGCUGCAUUCGAUACGGGCUAGCUAGAGUGUGGUAGGGGAGAUCGGAAUUCCUGGUGUAGCGGUGAAAUGCGCAGAUAUCAGGAGGAACACCGGUGGCGAAGGCGGAUCUCUGGGCCAUUACUGACGCUGAGGAGCGAAAGCGUGGGGAGCGAACAGG